CUGUUACAUACUUUCCGACGAAUCUAGUAUACCCUUUUACUCUACGAGUAACGGGUAUAAAAAUCUAAUCCAAGCCUUGGUCAAGUUGAUCAUUAUUUUGGGACUUGACCCACAGGAAGCAUUACUUCAACUUGCAGAGUCCGCAGAGUAAUGGAAGUGCUUGAGAUACUACAAUCGAUAAGCCCAUUGGGAAGGAGCACGACGAGUGGGACUUCGCUCCCUACUUAGGCAUCCUGCUAAACGGGUCCACGCACAGAAAUAUCUUUUUAGCAGAGCCACCAGUAAUACGAUCUCCGACGAGCUCUUCAUUGGGGAAUUAUCGGAUUCCAUCACAACUUGGAUGGUAAAGCUGAGCAGAAGAACGCGCUGGCUUCUAUAGGGAGGAGAAAAAAGGCCGCCCGUUCAGGAACAGCUGGAUGAGCCAUCAACAGCUAUUGCCAGGUUGCUAGGCGACUUCCUGCAGCAUCCGCGGAACAACCCCAUGUUGGCAUAUUCCGAAUCGGAGCGGGACUGUAGAUGCCUCGAAGAAGAUGGCGAAGCAUCAGCGACACGACAAGGAAGCCAUAAGCUAUUAACAGCAGAUUCGUCUUUUUUAAAUCGCCAACAAAAUUAAAACCAUGCUACAUGCAUUGCGGGUGAACUUUGAAAACUUCGGUUACACUACAAAGAAUCCGAUUUUUCGACUAGUGAAUUUACUUAGCCGAACUGAAUUAGUAUAUUAGCUUUUGGUGCAACAGGUGCCAGAGCUUGCCAAGCACAUAAGCUGGAGUUUGCUCAUUUCCUUAAAAUCGCCAAGUGCCAUUACCACCUAAACUGGUACAGAAUUCUAAAAAAAACACUGAAAUACUAGAUUUAUUAAUAAAUUGAAAAUGUAGCGACUUUGUCCCGCCUCUUUCUCGCACGUGUGUUAAUUAUGGAAGAAAAAGUCGCUGGACCGGAAUUUGGUCGCUGAAGCCCCGCCGUGUGAAUAGGGUAUUACACGAAAUAACAUUUUACCAAUAGAAACUACUUUAAAAAAUAUAAAAGCAUAUUUAUAUUCGUGUCAAGCUGACUCGUUCUGAAAUAAAUAUUAACUAUACCAGAAAAUACCGAACAAAUACCGACGACCCAACAAUGACACUAAUUUUGCAUUCCUCUAGGUUCCUAUGCGAAUAGGUCCAAUAUGCUCAUUGGGACUCGAAGCUGGACUGCGGUGGCGCGGGAAAGAUGGCGAAGCACCCGUGGAACGAGAAGAAGGCUUUAAACUACUAACUUAAGAAAAUAAAAACAUUUAUUGAACAUUCAA